rnacentral:rRNA from 1 species
UCAGGUAGUUGGUGAGGUAACGGCUCACCAAGCCUACGACGGGUAGCCGGCCUGAGAGGGUGACCGGCCACACUGGGACUGAGACACGGCCCAGACUCCUACGGGAGGCAGCAGUGGGGAAUAUUGCACAAUGGGCGCAAGCCUGAUGCAGCAACGCCGCGUGAGGGACGACGGCCUUCGGGUUGUAAACCUCUUUUAGUAGGGAAGAAGCGAAAGUGACGGUACCUGCAGAAAAAGCACCGGCUAACUACGUGCCAGCAGCCGCGGUAAUACGUAGGGUGCAAGCGUUGUCCGGAAUUAUUGGGCGUAAAGAGCUCGUAGGCGGUUUGUCGCGUCUGCUGUGAAAACCCGAGGCUCAACCUCGGGCCUGCAGUGGGUACGGGCAGACUAGAGUGCGGUAGGGGAGAAUGGAAUUCCUGGUGUAGCGGUGGAAUGCGCAGAUAUCAGGAGGAACACCGAUGGCGAAGGCAGUUCUCUGGGCCGUAACUGACGCUGAGGAGCGAAAGCGUGGGGAGCGAACAGGAUUAGAUACCCUGGUAGUCCACGCCGUAAACGUUGGGCGCUAGAUGUGGGGACCAUUCCACGGUUUCCG